rnacentral:lncRNA from 1 species
CCCCUGUUUUAGAUUCCCUGCAUCCCAAAACAGAAUCCCAUGAUCCACGGGAUGAACCCAAAUCCAAUUCUUCCGGCAUCUCCUCUCAGCCAAGAACACCACCCCCCUGAUCCCUGCUGUUAACGAAGUCCCAAGCUACCCAUCCCGUGUCCGUAGAUUAAGCAUCCCAGCCUCAAAACAGAGUUCAUCCUUAUCCCACGGAUCUCCCAGCUUAAUCCCAGCCAAAUCCAACCUACCCUCCCAUGUCAUCCGUAUCAUCCCAGAUUUCCUCCAAGCUUCCAAGCCUUCUUCGCAUUCAACCAUUCCGUCUCAUCCUCCCGUUCGGAACGAAGUCCCAGAUUUCACGGCGUCCAAACAAGCUUCCUCUAUUGCGAAACCGAAGUAUCAAGGUCCCAUUCUUUCCAUGAUCCACCUUCAUCUUAAUCCUCCUCUUCCGACUUGAUUCCAAAGAUCCCCUUAUCCACGAUUCAUCCCAACGUCCCAGCUCCUUCCGCGACCGUGCAUCUCAGCGUGAUCCUCAUCCAGAUGCCAACUGCAAGUAUCCAAAGAACAGAGCAUCAGCUUAUCCACGAGAUAACCCGAAUCCCAGUUAUUCAACGAAUACAUCUCGGCAUUCCGGAUUGACGCCAGCCAACCACGAGGGAUCUCCCGUAUCCACGAAUAGAGCCCUCCACGUUGAAGCCCUUCCAGAUUCCUCUCAGCCCCUUGAUUUGAUGUUAUCCACUGGUAGAAGACUUGGAUAAAGCCAUGAGAAACAGUGGGCUAUAAAGAGCUAUCUGCCACUGCAUGGAGAGGCAUCGAAGGAUCAGCCAGGGCCUUCUUUCAUUAGCGUAACGCCAUCUUCUCCUCUCUCACGCCACCUUCUCCCAUGGAAGAAAGGGAUUAGCCAAAGCUCCCUCUGUCAUCAUGCCAGCCUUCUCAUCCAAUCUCUUCUCAGGAGUUCCCACCGAAGUAAAAAUGCAAGGAGAAGACAGAGAAAAGAAGGAGAUAACCGUGAUGGGUGCCCGCUGCUGUGCUUCUGCUGCCGUCCACCACUGCAUGAAAGCCUAAGCUCUGCACUAGGGCUGGAUGCAGCCCUAACAAAGGGCCAAGGAUUUUAUAUUUUAAUUUCCUAUUCCUGGAGUUGUAUAAACUUUAUGUUGC